AACGAACGCUGGCGGCAUGCCUAACACAUGCAAGUCGAACGAGACCUUCGGGUCUAGUGGCGCACGGGUGCGUAACGCGUGGGAACCUGCCCUUAGGUUCGGAAUAACUCUCCUACAUGGGUGCUAAUAUCGGAUAAUGUCUUCGGACCAAAGAUUUAUCGCCUUUGGAUGGGCCCGCGUUGGAUUAGCUAGUUGGUAGGGUAAAAGCCUACCAAGGCGACGAUCCAUAGCUGGUCUGAGAGGAUGAUCAGCCACACUGGGACUGAGACACGGCCCAGACUCCUACGGGAGGCAGCAGUGGGGAAUAUGGGACAAUGGGCGAAAGCCGGAUCCAGCAAGGCCGCGUGAGUGAUGAAGGCCUUAGGGUUGUAAAGCUCUUUUACCCGGGAUGAUAAUGACAGAACCGGGAGAAUAAGCUCCGGCUAACUCCGU
rnacentral:rRNA from 1 species